AGUCAACAUGCCCAAAGGACGUGGAUAACCUCGGGAAACUGAGGAUAAACCGCGAUAGGCCAAGGUUUCUGGAAUGAGCCAUGGCCGAAAUCUAUAUGGCCUUUGGAUUGGACUGCGGCCGAUCGGGCUGUUGGUGAGGUAAUGGCCCACCAAACCUGUUACCGGUACGGGCUUUGAGAGAAGGAGCCCGGAGAUGGGCACUGAGACAAGGGCCCAGGCCCUAUGGGGCGCAGCAGGCGCGAAACCUCUGCAAUAGGCGAAAGCCUGACAGGGUUACUCUGAGUGAUGCCCGCUAAGGGUAUCUUUUGGCACCUCUAAAAAUGGUGCAGAAUAAGGGGUGGGCAAGUCUGGUGUCAGCCGCCGCGGUAAUACCAGCACCCCGAGUUGUCGGGACGAUUAUUGGGCCUAAAGCAUCCGUAGCCUGUUCUGCAAGUCCUCCGUUAAAUCCACCUGCUCAACGGAUGGGCUGCGGAGGAUACCGCAGAGCUAGGAGGCGGGAGAGGCAAACGGUACUCAGUGGGUAGGGGUAAAAUCCAUUGAUCUACUGAAGACCACCAGUGGCGAAGGCGGUUUGCCAGAACGCGCUCGACGGUGAGGGAUGAAAGCUGGGGGAGCAAACCGGAUUAGAUACCCGGGUAGUCCCAGCUGUAAACGAUGCAGACUCGGUGAUGGGUUGGCUUCGAGCCAACCCAGUGCCGCAGGGAAGCCGUUAAGUCUGCCGCCUGGGGAGUACGGUCGCAAGACUGAAACUUAA
rnacentral:rRNA from 1 species